UACAGAGGGUGCGAGCGUUAAUCGGAGUUACUGGGCGUAAAGCGUGCGUAGACGGUUAUUUAAGUCGGGUGUGAAAUCCCCGGGCUCAACCUGGGAAUGGCAUUUGGGACUGCAAGGCUCGAGUUUGGCAGAGGAGACUGGAAUUCCUGGUGUAGCAGUGAAAUGCGUAGAUAUCAGGAGGAAUACCGAUGGCGAAGGCAGGUCUCUGGGCUGAAACUGACGCUCAUGCACGAAAGCGUGGGGAGCAAACAGG
rnacentral:rRNA from 1 species